rnacentral:rRNA from 1 species
AAGAAUCUUCCGCAAUGGGGGAAACCCUGACGGAGCGACGCCGCGUGGACGAUGAAGGCCGUAAGGUUGUAAAGUCCUUUUGCAGGUGAAGAAUAAGCCGGGGAGUGGAAUGCCCUGGUGAUGACGUUAGCCUGCGAAUAAGCCCCGGCCAAUUACGUGCCAGCAGCCGCGGUAAUACGUAUGGGGCGAGCGUUGUUCGGAGUUAUUGGGCGUAAAGGGCGUGUAGGCGGCUCGAGAAGUCUGGUGUGAAAUCGCAGGGCUCAACCCUGCGGGUGCGCUGGAAACUGACGGGCUUGAGUCCCGGGGGGGAAGCUGGAAUUCCUGGUGUAGGAGUGAAAUCUGUAGAGAUCAGGAAGAACACCGGUGGCGAAGGCGAGCUUCUAUUCGAGGACUGACGCUGAGGCGCGAAAGCGUGGGGAGCAAACAG